rnacentral:rRNA from 1 species
AAUAUUAGUCAAUGCUCGCAAGAGUGAACUAGCUAACUGAAAUCACAGGAUCCAUUACGUGUGGUGAAUGUAAUAACGUAAGGGAAAAAAAAUGAUAUUACCUUACUAUUAGUGUUGUCCAAAACUGGUGCCAGAAGACUCGGUAAGGCCAGAGACGCAAACGUUAGUCGUCCUAAUCAGGCGUAAAGGGUAUGUAGGCUGCUUUAAAAAUAUUAUAUUUAAUAGCUCUGUAUAAAUAAUUUAUUUUUAUUUAAUAAAAAAUACUUCUAUAUUUAAACAGUAAAUAUAAAAUGAAUUAAAGCUAGAAUCAAAUUGAGGAUAAGUCAAAUAAUACUUAGUGUAGGGUUUAAAUCUGGUGAUACUAGGUGGAGUACUAAAGGUGAAAGCUUUUUAUCUAUAAAUGAUUGACGCUGAGAAACGAAGGUGAGAAAAGAAAAUAGGAUUAGAUACCCAGAUAUCUCUCACAGUCAACGAUGAAUGGUGGUUGUUAGUUUAAUAUGACUGAUAACGAUGUUAACACGAUAACCAUUCCGCCUUGCGAGUACGGUUGCAAAACUGAAACCAAAAAAAUUAGUCGGUCUCGAAGCAAACGAAGUGAAGCAUGUUAUUUAAUUC